CUGGCUGGACAAUAUCAUUGACCUUGUGAAAAAGUACAUCCUGGCCCUUUGGAACGAAGGUACAUCAUGGGCUUUAUCAGUAAGGAGCGGGAGCGGGCCAUCUUGAGCACUAAGCCUCCAGGCACCUUCCUGCUAAGAUUCAGUGAAAGCAGCAAAGAAGGAGGCGUCACUUUCACUUGGGUGGAGAAGGACAUCAGCGUAAGACCCAGAUCCAGUCCGUGGAACCAUACACAAAGCAGCAGCUGAACAACAUGUCAUUUGCUGAAAUCAUCAUGGGCUAUAAGAUCAUGGAUGCUACCAAUAUCCUGGUGUCUCCACUGGUCUAUCUCUAUCCUGACAUUCCCAAGGAGGAGGCAUUCGGAAAGUAUUGUCGGCCAGAGAGCCAGGAGCAUCCUGAAGCUGACCCAGGUAGUUGUUGAUU
rnacentral:lncRNA from 1 species